rnacentral:lncRNA from 1 species
GGGGUGUCGGUGGGCCGCCCCCGGGCCAGCACCAUGUUCCAGCUGGAGCUUCGAGCCUCGGCCUGGCUGCUCCAGGAGUGUACGCCUGAGCUCAGGGUGUCCCGCGAGCUUUGAGAGGCCUUUGAUGGGUUCUGAAACAACAGGAUUGGGGAGAGGCUGUCGAUGCUGAGGCACGAGAGAAUUUGCUCCUGCUCCUCCAGAGAAAAUGGCUGGGACAGGCUGUUGAGGAAUAAUUCUGCAGGGAAAAGUGGAAGAUGGCUGUGAAAGACUGGGAGGAGGCUGGCUAUGUUUUCAGGGGUUCUUCCUGCACAGUCGGUAGAAGCUGAGCUGCUGGGGAAGGGGCUGGAAGAAAGCCCACACCGCAGCUGCUGCAGUUCCUGCUCCGGGAAGGUUGCUUUCCGCUCUGGUGAGCUGGGGUUUCUGGCAGGGGCUGGCUCCAGGGAGGACAGAGGUAAGGGUUCCCACAUCCCAGACUCCUCCUUGCUCAAAGUCAAGGGAGGAGACUUGUUUGGCUCUGGGGGCUCUGGUGGGAGAGGAGGCUGGAGCUUAGGGGCUCUGCCUGUUGUCUCCUCAGCUGGCCGGGGCCCUGGGGCCCUUGGCGAAAGCUCUCUCGGCUGGGCAUGGAGGGUCUGGUGAUAAUUGGCUUGAUUUGGCGGUGGAUGUCUUGGUUCUUUAUAUUCUCCCCUCCAGGGGCUCUUCAGACCUCCCACUAGAAAACAGAGAGUACAAUGGUGAGGGGAAGCGUGCUGUGCACAGACAGCGGUC